AUUGAACGCUGGCGGCAUGCCUUACACAUGCAAGUCGAACGGCAGCGCGGGCAACCUGGCGGCGAGUGGCGAACGGGUGAGUAAUAUAUCGGAACGUGCCCUGGAGUGGGGGGAUAACUAGUCGAAAGACUAGCUAAUACCGCAUACGAUCUAAGGAUGAAAGUGGGGGAUCGCAAGACCUCAUGCUCGUGGAGCGGCCGAUAUCUGAUUAGCAGUUGGUAGGGUAAAAGCCUACCAAGGCGACGAUCAGUAGCUGGUCUGAGAGGACGACCAGCCACACUGGGACUGAGACACGGCCCAGACUCCUACGGGAGGCAGCAGUGGGGAAUUUUGGACAAUGGGCGCAAGCCUGAUCCAGCAAUGCCGCGUGAGUGAAGAAGGCCUGGUUG
rnacentral:rRNA from 1 species